UACGUAGGGUGCGAGCGUUAAUCGGACUUACUGGGCGUAAAGUGUGCGCAGGCGGCCGAGCAAGUCGAGUGUGAAAGCCCCGAGCUUAACUUGGGAACUGCGCUCGAAACUACUUGGCUAGAGUGUGGCAGAGGGAGGUGGAAUUCCACGUGUAGCGGUGAAAUGCGUAGAGAUGUGGAGGAACACCAGUGGCGAAGGCGACUCUUUGGCCUGUAACUGACGCUGAGGCGCGAAAGCGUGGGGAGCAAACAGG
rnacentral:rRNA from 1 species